ACCAGGACCCAAAGAAGCUGGGGAGGGCCAGGCAAGGGCUGGCUCGGAUCGCCGUGCUUGGGUGGUCUGUACGUUUAGACGAGCUGCACCCCCGCGAGACCGCUUCACAGCUGCCCUGUCUCAUCCACACAACCUUGGUGGAGCCAAGAGGCCGACAAAACACUGAAGUUCAUCUUCUUGGCUCUUCUCCAGAGAUCUGUGGCAGCAGACAUAAGUCUGGCAGUGUGGGAGGAGCCGCAACAGAAGCCCAGAAGCCAGGGCUGGUUCAUCACCAGGCGUUGGUUCAUCUCCAUGCAGACAAGAGAGGGCCUGCAGAUAGCUGCUUCCUGGAGGACUCAGCCUAAAUGUCUUCUACAUCUGAGUGACUUAACACAUUGCUGCCCCAACAUCAACUUAUCUGAUUCCAUCAAUAGUUCAAGAUUUAGAGAGAAAAAGGAUACCCAACCAAAAUUUGGUUGAACUUUGACAUGCCCAGAGCCCUGGGUGCUGCAAAUCACCCACCUCCUUUGGAUCUUGUGAGCCUCUCCUCUCUCACAGUUCAUGUCUAACUAGCUAUGAGUUGGGCUGCUUUCUUUUCCUCUCCACACUCUCUUCCUAGCAUGAUCUCCACCUCGAAGCAGAUCCCUCACUGCAUCGCUCCAGUCCCUGUUUUCCAGCUGCACACCACCACCAUCCUAUGGUUUUAUAAAUACUUAAUUGCCAGGCAAUAAGCUAAACCUUUUAUAGGCCCUGGCUCAUUUAAAUCCUUGCAGGGCGGUAUCCGCUUUUUUGACAUCUCUCUUUACCUGCAUAUUAAAUCAGUUUCCAA